rnacentral:lncRNA from 1 species
AUCCCAUCGUAUUUACUUGUGGAAUGUUUCAUGAAGAAUGUGCAAGUUAAUGAAUUGUCUGAAAGGUGGGAAGCCGAGAAGUGACUGUUGAGAAUAAGAUUGAUGGCAAAGAAGGGCAGGCACCAGGCGGAAGUUCUGGGGGCGGCCACACUGUCUGCUCCCCCUGCCAGGCCAAGGCUGACCCUGUCCACCCAGCUCCAGCCCGUGAUCUGGGAUGUGGAACACUGCGAACUUGAGCAUGCCCGUCACAGCCCAGACGUGGGACGAUGUCUACCACUCAGCUGCCUUUACCCCUCAGUGGAGCCCAUGGAGGUCAUGCCCUUUGCUGGACAUCUGCUGGCUUUAAAAAACUAAUCCAUGAGAAAAUUGAGAGAGAAAUUAAAUAUCCGGACUACAGCAAAGUAUGUGACCAGUUAUUCUUGCAGAAAAAUGGAAAAUAUGAGCUGGACAUUGGUAUGAAUGAGAAGACCUCUUCAUGAGUUAUUAUUUGUUUAUUCAAAAGGCACCUUUAUCAAAUCCAUAUGCUGCACAGAAUGAGCCACUUUUCAUCUGAACGCAAGACUACCGAGACUUACACUCGCGGAUGAAGGAGACGAUUUGAAUGGGUUCCAGGUUUCCUGCUCCUCUUUGCUGUUAAAGGGAGCAGGAGAUGGCCACAUCAAGCAGAAGUGGCUGUCACGGUGCCUGAGCACAGGCUGACCACAGACCUGAGAGAACAGCCUCGGCCCGGUCAUCAUCUCCGACUUUCUCCUGCAAUGAGGAACCACAGCGACCGCUCGCCAUUCAUCACCGUGCCCUUCCCACACACCCAGCACCUUCCAAACGGGCUGGCCUGGAGAUCUGCAAACAUCUGCUUCUUUUCUCUUUCCCUCUGCAAACUCCCCAUUCAGGUAGACUUUAAUGACUGAGAGAGAGGUAAAAUCCUUCUAUAGAAAUGACAACGGACGCUUGUUUUCUUUUAAAUGUAAUGUUAGGAUUUCACUUUUAUGAAUAAGGCAGCAAAAUGGCACAACUGUAUGCACGUGUGCACAGACAGCAGGUUGUUGGGACUUGCAAUCGAUGUUAAAAGUUUAGUUUAUGCCUAUCAAAGUCAUCUUUGACCCUUAAUGGAGUGGAGGGCUCCUACAGUACUAAAGUUCAUUGGUCUUGCAUAUUUUAAUGGAUAAUGCUAUUGUUUGUGGAUUCGGGGUGUUCUCCUUGCCUCUCAGACAGGAUGUUCCCAGCCUGUUUCCUUUGGGGGUUUAAGUUGUUCUGGGACAGUCUACAGAAUGUUCGACUGCUGCUAAUGCGUGUUGUGAGACCUAUAGAUGACAGUGAGAAAACAUCCAGGUCAAUAGAUCUUGGCUUGCUCAUUCAGUCAGGUAUUUAUUAUUCUUCUUUGCAUGAAAAUUUUUGACUCUGGCAGACUCUGUAGCUCCCCACAGUAAUAAAAGUGCGCCUCGGGGUGGCUAAUCCUAAACAGUGGCUAAUCCUCAAGCUAUUUGCAUUUGUUUUGGGAAUGCACAUUUGUACCUGCAUUAUAACAGGGCCAAGAUUACUACCGAACAAAUAACAAAGCUGGGUAUGGCCAGACUGUUUCUGAAAGCGACAACAAUCUGCUUUUUCAUUGUAUUUUCUCACUCAGACACUUUUUAUUGGCCUCAUCAUGGCAUUUAACUCUUUUGGAUCAGAUCUUUUCCAGAGCAAGGUGAUCUGUGAUGAGCCGAUCACCUCAUUGCAUCCUGUCCAUCACAACUGAGAUGCAGGGCAUGAACACUGAUGGAGAGAGAGGAAAUACACAUCUUUAAUGACCUCUUGGUCAGGAGCACUGCCUCGGGGUCAGAACCAAGUUCAAAUCUCUUUCUUGCCAUUUCCAACCUAGCCAUGAUUUUAGACAAGUUAAUUUCCCUCUCUGAACCUCAGUCUCCUUAACUGAGCACAAAUUCCCGCCCCAUAAGGGUAAUAACAGUGAGUAUUAGGUAGUAUGGUGGUCGUAACGUAGGUAGCACCAGUAUUGCCAUAUAGUAAGGGCUUAGCAAGUGAUAGCUGCUAAUUUUACUUUGCAAACCGGCUUCCUGACUGCAGCAAAUCUGCAGAUGACAAAAAACUCUCAUGCUGAUGUGAAGAUUUCUUUCCAAGAAAAUUGUAUUAUUUCAACCAUGCUCAUUUCUCUCACCAAGCCAAAAAAUUAGCAUAUUUCUCUAGAAGCUAGGGAGAAAGGACUACUUUUGUGUGUGUGUGUGUGUGUUUUUGUGUGAGGAAGAUUGUCACUGAGCUAACAUCUGUGCCAGUCUUCCUCCAUUUUAUGUGGGAUGCCACCACAGCACGGCUUGAUGAGCAGUGCUAGGUCCACGCCCGGGAUCCAGACCUGCAAACCCUGAGCCACCGAAGCGGAACAUUCGAACUUAACCACUACGCCACUGGGCCGGCCCCAAAGGACUACUUUUUAAAAUAUUCUUUUAACUAACAAAAUGCAGAGAUGAUAUUCUUUCUGCGUUGUUUCAUGGCAGGGACACAUUCUGAGAAAUGCAUUGUUAGGCGAUUUUGUCAUUGUGCAAACAUCAUGGAGUGCACUUACACAAACCUACAUGGUAAAGCCUACUACACACCUGGGCUAUAUGGUACUAAUCUUAUGGGACCCUCAUUAUACAUGCGGUCCAUUGGUGACUGAAAAGUCGUUAUUCGGCCCAUAACUGUAUAAUAUGAUAUUAUUUGCUGUCACAGGAGUUUUGAAAACAUAGCUACAUUAUAUACAUAUAAUUUGUUUACAAGGUUCUGGGUGGACCAUCAGGCAGAAAGACAGAAAAAGUUUUUGAGUAAAGAGAGGAACAGGAUUGAGAAAUGGGAAAUAAGGAAUAUCGCAUGAAAGAGUAGAAGCAGAUUGUGAGUAAACAUCUGAAGAAGAAAGUAAGAGGAAUGACAUUAAACGUGUCAGUGCUCCUGUAUUUUGAAGGAGGUGUAAAUUGGAUCAAGUGCUGUAAAUGUUCACAGGCCAUACCCCCUUUGGAUCUUCUCACCUCUUCCCUCCUUCUCACCACCUGCGUCCAUCAGCUCUGUCACUUUAUGUAUGAGAGAGAGAUUCCCACAUUCACUCCAGAGGUUCCAGGAAGAGCAGACAGCUUAAAAACAUAAAAUUUUAAAAAUGCAGCUAUUUCUUCAUCGAACACUCCUCUCAAGCAGACACAUUUUAAACAAUGCUCGAAGUUUCAGAAGGGAGUUAAGAUACAUGAGAGAAAAAUCCUUUCUGAAGUUUGAAGCUGCCUCGGGUGCACAAACGUGCACCUUCCUAGGAGAGAGACCAUUUUUGGAAGAAGAUAACAAUAACACAUCUGUCUUUUCAAAACCACAGCGCAGCUCGAGUACCAGAUUAAGGGAGAUUUGUAAACUCUGUUUCUGAAAAAGUACAGCCUCUUCCUUGGUUUUAUUGGUCGAGGAAUUCCAGCGAGACGGCAGCAGUCUGGUUCUUGGCAGACUUCUGCGGGAGCUGAUGAACGUCUUUUCUAGGUUAAAGUCUCCUCUUUUUUUGAGGAAGAUCAGCCCUGAGCUAACAUCUGCCCCCAAUCCUCCUCUUUUUUGCUGAGGAAGACUGGCCCUGAGCUAACUUCUGUGCCCAUCUUCCUCUACUUUAUAUGUGGGACGCCUACCACAGCAUGGCGUGCCAAGCGGUGCCUUGUCCGGACCCAGAAUCCAAACCAGCAAACCCCAGGCUGCCGAAGCAGAAUGUGCACACUUAACCGCUGCGCCACUGGGCCGGCCCUAAAUUCUACUUUUUAAAAGUCACGCUGUGAAGUGAGCUUGAGUUGAUAGAUCUGUUGGGCCACUGUUUGCAUACUGAAGUAUGGCAGCCUUCAACAGGCUACCUAUUGGCUAAAGCAACGAGCCAGAUGAAGACCUCAGUACAGUCAUCUCAGCUAUUGGAACAAUGUAAUUUGGCAAAUGAAAAAAAGAAAGCAUAUGUUGAUCAUGCAAUGCAAACAGAAGAUGCCCCUUUAUUAUAGGAGAUCACAAAGUCGUGAAUGGUAUGUCUUCUUAUAAGGUGAUGACGCAGUAAUUCAACGACAUUCUUAAAACUUCCAGUAAAUUUCCACCAUUUCAGAUCCUAUUGAGGCCAUUAAAUCAAGACUGAUUUGGACACGAAUAUCUCUCUUCUACAGAAACAUAUAAAUGGGAUCAGAUGAUUUGGGUAAGUGGCAACUAUUAAUUUUAUUGAAAAGACCUCCCUCAAUUGAUGUUUCUUGUUUGAAAGGCUAGCCCAUCUCUAAAGGGUUAACUGGCGUCCCAUUAAUGGGACACACUAUCACAAGACAAAGUAAUACAGUUUAACGCCCCCUGCUUUGAAUUCAGAGUUCAUGCAUAGUCUAGACUAAAGGCCAAACAAAUGUGCAACACUCCAUGCAUGUCUAUGGAGGAACAUUUUUGCUGAAGGAUAUGUAAAUAUUGCACUAAUCAGAGGUUCUGAAAUUCCAAAUGCCGUAAAAGGUUACGACCCGAAGCCCUGUUAAUAUAUGAGCGAGGGCGUAGACCAAACCCUUUUGAAUGACAGCUAACAUGGGGUGUUUUGCAUGAAAAAUAACCUCUAAUAAAUGACCUCUGCUUUUCUCUUUUCAAUUCUGUGACAGUAAUGAAUGAGAAAGGGGGAGCUUCCUACACAUCCAGUGUUAUUUACACCGAAACAUGAAAGUCCUGCCUGAGUGUUGGCUCCCAUUCAGGAAGAUGGAACAGUAGACAAUUUAUCGCAGAGAAUGAUAAUUUCUUUUUCCCUUUUGGGCUUCCCAAAGAACUCCAAGUAGAAGAGCAAAAAAACCUAAACACAUGCAAAGUUGUUAAAACAAGUGUUUCAUUUCCUAAAGAAUCCUUUCCGUUAGAGGGUGUAUAUGGAAUCUCCUGGAAUGCUGAUGAAACCUUUCUUGCUCAGAGAGCCCAUGACGUUUAGCCUGUCAGGUC